rnacentral:snRNA from 2 species
GGAUGUAAGGGUGAUACAACUAUGACAUCUGUCACCACAUUGAUUUAGCUGAUCUGGCUGGGUAGGCGGGUGCCCCCUUCCUCCCUCACCAUUCCAUGUGCGUCCCUCCCAAAGCUUCGUGCUCAGUGGAAUAGGAUGACCUUCCCUGAUGGAGAAGGACCAUUCAUCGGUCAAGGGUAUAGGAGUAGCUGUGCUCCCCUGGUAUAACCUCCAGACAAGUUCUCAAGGUCCAUUUGUAGGAGAACAUAGGGUAGUCAAGCUUCCAAGACUCCAGAUACACCCAAAUGAGGCACUGCAUGCAUCCAAAUCAGGCAGAUCCAAAGAAAUGGACAGUCUGCCUUUCAUU